GUGAGUGUCUAAAUGCCACUGGAUUGUGCGCUUUAAAACGUCUCAUUUUAUGUCAUGUGAAUUUCUCCCCAACAAAAAGGAAGCAUAUAUAACAGUAUCUCAUUUUUCAAAUCCUCUGGUAAUUGUAUUUCAGUGCUAGAACCCUAGGACAUUUCUUCCAUGCAUUUAACUCCCUUGGCCUCGCCAGACGCCAGGUCGGGGUCCCCUGGACUGGAAGCUCUCCACGGCCACUCUUGGAACCUGUUUUUACCAGGAGAGGUGCAGUCCCACCUCCUGGUCCCCCCCAGGCCCAUCCUGGCUCCAUGUAGAGAAGUUGCUGGUGGAAGACGAGCGCCGGUUUCCUCCGGCUUCACCGCUAAGGGGGCUGGGAGCAGACAGACGAGGCAGAGCCCCCAGGCUGGCCCUCUCGUCUUGCACUUAGCGUCAGUGUGGAAGGCUCUCCCACCUCUAGGAGUCGUCUCUGAGAAUGCAGACGUCCCGGGAGAGGGGAGACCCAGCCGGGUGGAUCUGCAGGCAGGUGAGGCUGGACCAGGUAGCGGGUAAGAAGAAGCAGCAGGAGAUUAUUGCUGAGCUAAGCUCCGUGCCAGUCUUCCUCCACUUUAUAUGUGGGACACUGCCACAGCAUGGCUUGAGGAGUGAUGUGUAGGUCCAUGCCCAGGAUCCGAACCUGUAAAGCCUGGGCCACUGAAGUGGAGCGUGGGAACUUAACAACUAUGCUACUAGGCUGGCCCACCGGCCGAUUAUUCGUGACUGGAAACUUUGAUUCCCGGCGGCUGUUUCCCACCCUUCUGCAUCCACAUUCAUGUGCCCCCACCUGCUCAUAAACUCCUGGGGAGAUAAAAAGCAGUACAUGCCGACUCUGCUGGGCAACGUGCGAGGUGUCUGUAAGCAUCUCGUGAUCGCAUCUCGUCCUUCCUGCAAGCCCACGCAGUAGGCACUGUUCACGGAUGGAGAAACUGCAGCUCAGAAAGGUGAACCUGUCGCUCGUGCAGAGCUGGGACUCAAACC
rnacentral:lncRNA from 1 species